CUACAAAGAAGCAAGCUCAACAGUUGUGGUCUAUCAGUGUUGUAGCUUCAAAUGAUGCAAAACUAACACCAAGCAGCAACGUGACCAAAUCCUGGGUUGAUGAAGCGGAGGAGGAGACUAAAUCACCUCAGAAAAAGAAAUCCAUCUGGGAUGUCUUCGAUAUUGCCAAAUUGACUAACGUAUGGUUCAAACUGCAGUAUGUUCCACAAAAGGAGAAAGGUGAGUUUGCUAUUGAAAUUGAAAACAUAUACAAUCUGAAAUAUAUUAUGGGAGUACUGUUGUUACGUGUUAUGUUUUAGGGGUCACCCCUUUUUACAGUAUUAGAAAGAUAUAUGAAGAGGUUAUGUGAAAUUAUAAUGUUGAAGAAUAGGGUAUUAUUAGUGAGACUUGUUGCGAUGAACGAAAGAAAAAGCUAUAUAAGGUGGGGUCUGUCAUUUCCAUAACAACUCGUUCAUCAUUAAGGAUUAGUCUGCUGAUUUAGAGUACACUCAUGAAGAACUACUGUCAGUGCCAAUUUGGAUCAAAUUUCCAAGACUUUACUUUAAAUAUUGGAGUCCUACGAAUUUAAGUGAACUUGGAAGUCUAGCAGGGAAACCAGUUAUGGUAUAUCAAAAUUGUCACGACUUGGCCGGGGCCCUGGCCGCGACGGGCAUCCCGAACCAUGAAGGCCUGAGAGCCAUCUUAACUUGUGAUCAUAUGCAAUGUUCAUCUAUUAUCAAAAAGUGAAAGUAAAUUGGAACAUGGUCAUCUUAUCGUUUCAGCUAAACAAUAUGGGUAUAAAUUCAUAAAGACCCAAAACCAUCUAACAUAAGUCUGUGAAAUCUCUAAUAAACUAAAAACAACAUUCUGUUUGAAACCGGGACAAGGUCCCCGUUCGGACCAUGAACUAAAACCAAAUGAGAUCAACAGAAGUGAACAAGAAGCUUCUGAAGUAAGGGAGGGUCACCAACUCUGAAUGCCUGACAGCAAUCUAUUGUUUAGCAGGACCUCUAGACUGGGCCUCAGAACCUGAAAUAUAGGGGGUCAAUACAAAAUAUACUCCAUACAAUCUACAAAUAUUGCUACCACACUAGUCUAUCACUAUAAAAUGGCAACCCACCCCUCAAUCAAUGGUUAUACAACUAAACUAGCUUCUUUACGCAAAAGUCACCCUCAUUUUGACUUCUAAGCUUGUGACCUCAUAUCACUAGCUUCUGGACCAUUUUACAGCUCAUAGGUUAUGACACUUUAUCACAUACUACUACUCAGGUUGAAAUAUUGUUCCAACAUUCUACUAUAUCUCAUUACCCUUAAGCAUGACAUCUGCAACAAGGAUUUUAGAAAAGGGACUGAAUACACUUCAUACCUCAGGUUGAAAAGCAUGAUUUCAUUAGGAUAAAGCAUACACUCGAAUCAAUACACCUUGAAGCACUAACAAACUCCUCUCAAGUCCUUAUACUAUUCCAUAAUCCUUUAUGACUUAAUUAGAAAUGACUACAUCAUUUAGACUCUAAGCUUCUGCACUUGAAUCAACUCGACCACGAGACAUAUCUAAUAAAAUCAGAGUAAAGUAGGAGUAACCUCUAAAUGGACAUAACAAUGGCAUGAUCUAGAACAUGAAGAAAAGUGAAACAUACCUGAAUGCCUAGUAGCUUCUUACUUAUAAGUGUGGUGCGCAACACACCCAUAAACAGUACUCUACCCAACGUGACUUUGCAAACACCCUAGGACUAUGAACCGUAUUUUGAUACCAAGUUUGUCAUGACCUGAGCUGGGGCCCUGGCUGCGAUGAGCAUCCCGAACCAUGAAGGCCUGAGAGUCAUCUUAACUUGUGAUCAUAUGCAACGUUCAUCUAUUAUCAAAAUGCGAAAGUAAAUUGGAACAUGGUCAUCUUAUGAUUUAAGCUAAAAAAUAUGGAUAUAAAUUCGUAAAGACCUAAAACCAUCUAACAUAAGUCUGCGAAAUCUCUAAUAAAUUGAAAAAAAUAUUCUUUCUAAAAUCGGGAUAAGGUCUCCGAUCGAACCAUGAACUAAAACCAAAUGAGAUCAACAUAAGUGAACAAGACGUCUUUCGAAGUAAGAGAUACUCACUAACUCUGAAUGUCUGACAACAAUCUACUGUUUAGCAGGACCGCUAGGCUGAGACUUAGAACUUGAAAUAUAGGGGGUCAAUACAAAAUGUACUUGUACGCAGAGCAAUCUAAAAUAGUAUACUUAGGGAUGAUAAUGAGGUGGUGUGGGUGCGGUGUGGGUUUUAGGAUAUGCGGGGCAGGUUUUAGGCUAUGUGGGUGCGGCGCGGGUUAGAGUAAGUUUUUUUAAAAUGGUGUGGGGCGGGGCAGGUUGCGGGUAUAUGCGGGUUUAGAUUAAAGAAAAAAGCUAAAAUUGAGUAUUAUUCUCAUGGAUCUGCCUAAAAUUAUAUUUUUCUUUACUUAAAAUUUUGUCAUACUUAAAACAAAAUAUAUAACAUUAUAUAUAAAUAAUUUCAUAACCUUUUCUUUUCAAAUCAGUAAAAUAAUUUUAUAACUUAAAAUAUCAAACAAAAGUUUAAAGGUUUUUCUUUACUAAAUCACUUUGCCAUGCAUCACUUAUUUAAUUUAUCUAAGCAAGGACUUGAAAAUAUUCUGGUUUCCAAUGGAGUUACAAAAUUUUCAAAAAAUAAAAAAUAAAAAUGCUGGGCGGUGCGGUGCAGGUAUGCGCAGUUUUGAAUGUGGGGCGGGUUUAAAGGUGAUGCAGUGUGGGUUUUAAAUUCGCGGGUUUAGGAAAAACCCACACCACACCCGCACCGCCCCAUUUAUGUAACAUACAUGAGAGAAAUUCAUAAAACAGUUUACGUACCUUAUAUGAAAACACAUGGGCAUACUUUAACGACUUUGAAACAUUUCUUUGAAAUUGUGAACCACUUUUUAUUUUACUUCUGAGCUAGAUGGUACACCCUACAAGAGUAGUACCCACGAGCUAUAUGGGUCCAUCAUUAACUCGUCGGCCAAGCCCCCACAUCCAAGUUUGCCGCAAGGAUAGGGGUCCUACAUACUAGUUUAGUAUACUAGUAUCUCAAGGACAAGUAUACAUUGGCCUCAUAUAAUCAUAUCAGUCAAAUCGGUAAAACUCGAUUUUCAGCAAUGAGCUCUUAUAUUCAAAUGCCUUCUUCGAGUAACCAUCUAACUCUCUUUAAACCCAUUUUAAAAAAUUUAAAUCAUGCAUCUUUAUGAAAAAUGGUCUAAUGUCUAAAAAGCUUCUGUAGUCUAGUCUAAUUUGAGUCUGUUUUGACAUUCAUCUUGGUAUCGUCAUACCAAGACUUGCAAGUCAGAUAAACCAUAAAAUAUCAUGUUACAGUCUUUUCAUUCAAAACAUAAUGUUUGGACCACCAAAUCAUUCAAACAAUAUAAGAGAAUUUGUAUUUCGAAAUAUAUGAAAACUUAUGCAAAAAUUCUCUCUUUUAAUUCUUAAACACAUGCUGGCCAUUUACUUUGUAGCAAACCAUGCAAUUCUUUCAAUAAUUAUCUUAACAUUUACAAGAAAGAAAAAACCCUCUCUUUAAUUUACAAUCAAUAUCAAGUCCAUAUAAACAGUAAAACAUCUAUCUCAUGCUUCAAAACAUGCAAUUAAACAACUCAUAAUUUGUGAAAUCAAGAGGUAUCAAAACAAGAGAGGGGUAUCGUCAUUCAUGCUCUUGAUUGAACUUUUCAAAACUGAAAACGCAUAUGUAUAGGUGGUUAUAAUUCAAUUCUAUAAAAAUAGGUUCAAGACAAAUAUUUACUUUCAUCAAAACAAGUUCAUAAUACAUGCUAUUCAAAACCAUGUCAAAACCCUCUUUGUAAACACGAUUAUAUAUCUUUAAACUUGAUAAAAACCAUAAAACUUAUGCCCAAGGAGUUUAGGAUAGCCCCACGCACCUUAAUUGAUGAAGAAAUCAUGAUGAAAUUGACCCCUUUAAGCUUGAAUGUCCAAACCCUAGGUUAUUUUUCUCCUCUUGUGUUUUAGGAAGAUGAACUAAGAAUUUGAUAGUGUUAAAACAUAUUUAGGGACUUUAAUCUCGUGUUAAGAUGUUUAGGGAUGGUUAUGGAACGUAAAAAGACUUGGUUGCCCUUGAAAUAACUAAAAAACGGAGCCCCUAAGCCGCAAAACAUCAAGUAGGCGGCACCCAACCAAUGGCCUAACCCAGGUUGGGUGGCGCCUAACCCAUUGCAUAACACAGGUUGGGCGGCGCCUAGCCCAUGGCCUAACCUAAGGUAGGCCUCGCCUAAGCCAUUGCCUAACCUUUCCAGUGAAGAUAGGCGAUGGAAAUGCAAUGCUUAGCCAUCGCCUAGGCCCUACUUUUUAACGCCUACUUACUUUGAGGUCUAAGAACACCCCCAACACCUCCCACAACGUCAACACAAGAUCUACCAUCACUAUGGGGUCCCUAAAGAUCAUUUUAGACAUACUGAAAGAGUGUUACAACCACGAGGUAUUACAUGAUUCCUAGGAAUAUCUUUUAUUUCGAAAACACUUCCCACACUAGGAUAAAUAUCAUGACACAUGAAUUCAAAAGUAAAUCAUGGGAUUAUGGUUUACACACGUAAGAACGAUGGUUCGAUUUCUAGCUCGAAAUAUGAGGGGUGUUACAAAAAUACUAAUGGUUUGACUUUUGCAAAAAUUUUGGUGGAACUGGGGAUGAAGGUAGUCUUGCCAAAUGAUAUUGUUCUUAAAAAUGAAAAAAGGGUAGCUUAUACAAAUGAAGGGAUUCUAGAGAACCAGAAGGAAGUAGUUGCACAAGGAAAAGUGAAGGCCAACACAACUACUAAACAAAGAAAAGAGGGGUAAAAGAUUAUUCACCAGAAGCAAUAUACUCAAACUAGUCAAAUGGUACAUGAGAAAGCAAACAAACAACUAAGUGGUCAAAAUUGUCACAUAGGACAAAAAGAAGAAUUUAGGUGGAUUACACCAAUGAGGACAGGGCAUACUCAAGUAUUCCAGAUGGCUAAACUACAUACUGGUAACAACUUUCAAGCAUUGUAAACUAAAGAUGGUCAACUGCUAACUAGUUAUGUUGAUAAUAUGGGUGGUCAAUCCAUGUCCCUUGUUGGGAAUGGAUGACACACUUAGUUGGAAUGUUAGAGGGAUUAAUGAACCAAAUAAUAAAAAAUACAUUAAACUCUUUUGCAAUGAAAAAAAGGGUAGUUUGACUGACUUACUGAAAAACUAAUGUAAAAAAUAAAAUUGGGAAAUCACAGAGAAGAUGUUAAAGGGUGAGUUUAAUUUACAAAUUUGGAGUAUUAUUACAAUGGUAGGAUUUGGGUAAAUUAGAGACUUGAUUUCUAUAAAGUUAUACUUCUUAACAUGAUAACUCAAAUGCUCACAUAUGAGGUACACUACGUUUCUUUAUAUCUGACUUUUGAUAUGUCAUUUGUGUAUGCUUUUAAUACUAAGAAGGAGAGGAAAGAAUUAUGGGAUAAGCUAAGGGAGUAAAGUAAUAGUUGUACAAAGCCUUAGAGAUUUAGGGGAAUUUUAAUUCAGUUUUAUAAGUUGGUGGAAGAGUAGAUGGUAACCCAGUGUCUUGGGAAAAAGUAGUAGACUUUCAACCAUCUGUCACAAACAGGGGAAUUUUAAUUCAGUUUUAUCAAUCCUUCUUUCCCUUGUUUUGACAUGGUAUUAGAGCCCAUUUCUUACGGGAUCUGAAUCUAUUUUUUUGUUGAUUGGCUCAUCUUAUUUUAACUUCUUUUUCUUAGAUCUCUUUUCUGAAAACAUAGCACCAAAAAAUCAACCAACAACGGGUCCUCCGAUUUUCUCGGGGAAGAAUUACCAUAUUUGGGCCAUUAAAAUGAAGGCUUAUUUGAAUGUUCUAAACUUGUGGGAUGUUGUUGAAAGAGGAGAACCUGCUAUCCAUCAAUUGAGCGACAACCCAACUCUCAAUGAUAUAAAAAGGAUGAUGAGUUGGUGACUAGAUCUCCAAGAGCUCUCACUUGCAUAUAUUUAAGACUUACAGAAGUGAAGUUUACAAGGAUUAUAGCUUUUGAGACAGCCAAAGAAGCCUGGAAUAAGCUAAAAGAGGAGUUAGAAGGCAACAACAGAGUUGAGUUUGUUAAGGUUUUAGCUUUGAAGAGGGAGUUUGAGCUCUUGAAGAUAAAGGAUUUGGAUAGUGUGAAAGAAUACUCUUCCAAACUGAUGGAUAUUGUGAACAAAAUAAGGAUACUUGGCGAAAAAAUUCCAGAUCAGAAGGUUGUUGAGAAGAUCAUGAUCAUCCUUCCAGACAAGUUUGAAUAAAAAAUCUCAGCUAUUGAAGAGUCUUGUGACUUGAUUACUCUUUCAAUAGCUAAGAUGAUCUCUAAAUUGCAAAUCCAAGAGCAACGGGUAACUAUGAGAAGUAAAACGACAGUCGAAGAUGCCUUGCAAGUAAGGCAUAAAUUCAAGCAACAAAGGAAGGAAAAAAAGUCUCUUCAGACCACUCUGGAGAGGUGAAAUCUGGUGGAUACCAAGGUGAAUCAUCGAGGAGAGAAAAAUUUCCACCUUGUGGUAUUUGUAAGAAGACAAACCACUUGGAGAAGAAUUGUUGGCAGAAGUCCAAGAGGUCUCCUAUUCAAUGCAGAUACUGCAAGAAGUAUGGACACAUUAAGAAGUAUUGCAGCAAAAGAAAACUCAAAUUGGCCAGUCUUCCCAAUGAGUAAAUUUUACGAAAGAUCACCAAGUUGAAAAAAUAGAGGAGGAGGUAUUCAUGGCUUCGCGCACAUCACAUGUUGAUUGAUAUAAUUGGUAUAUCAAUGGUGCAUGCACAAGGCACAUGGCGAUUGAUGAAAAUCUGUUUGUUAGCCUGGACAGGUCUGAUAGGACCAAAGUGAAGCUUGGAGAUGGUGCACUGGUUCAAGCUCAAGGAAGAGGAUCAGUGCAAUUCCCUACAGAUGAAGGUAUGAAAAUCAUAAACAAUGUUCUUUAUGUGCCAAACCUAACUGAAAACUUGUUGAGUGUUGCACAGUUGCUUCACAAUAAUUAUUCACUUACUUUUAAGGAUAAAAAAUGUGUCAUUUAUGAUCCUAAAAGUUGUGAAGUAGCUAAAUUAGCAUGAUUGGUAAUUCAUUUCCAAUUUUAUGCUAUUCUGCUAAAAGUUGCUCUUUCAAUAUUGAAAUAAGUGAUACUUGGCUUUGGCAUAAAAAAUUAGGUCAUUAUAACCUUAGUUCAUUGGUGUAUAUGCAAUCCAAGGGUAUUGUGCUUGAUGUACCCAAAAUUGAUAUAUGCCGGGAUGUUUGUGAGUCAUGUCAAUUUGGUAAAUUGCAUAGACGAUCCUUUCCUAAAGGAAGUCUUUGGAGGGCGAAGAAAAAGUUAGAGUUGGUUCAUAUAAAUAUAUGUGGACCAAUGUGGAUGGCUCAUUAAAGUAGGAAUAAAUAUUUUAUUCUCUUUAUAAAUGAUCUAACUCGAAUGACAUUGGUCUAUUUUCUAAGUAGAAAAGUUCAGGUGUUCUCUGUUUUCAAAGAAUCAAGGCUAUGGUAGAAAGAGAGAGUGGCUGCCGGUUGAAGUAUAUCAGGUCAGAUAAUGGAACUGAAUAUACUUCGCAUUAGUUCAACAAGUAUUGUAAAGAUGUGGUAUUCAAUAACAAUUCACUGUUAGCUACACUUCAGAAUAGAACAGGGUUUCUGAGAGGAAGAACAAAGUAAUGAUGGAGAUGGCGAGAUGCAUGUUGGCAAAAAAGAAGAUGCCUAAAUAUUUUUGGGCUGAGGCAGUCAAUACUGCCGUCUAUUUGCUGAACAGAUUACCAACUAGAGCACUCUAAGACAUAACUCUAUUUGAAGCAUGGAAAGGUAUAAAGUCAUCUACGAGACACUUAAAAGUCUUUGGUUCAGUCUUCUAUGCGCAUGUUCUAGAUGCUAAAAGAGGCAAAUUGGAUAACAAGGAAGACUCUAUAUUUUGUUGGGCUAUAACACAACUGCAAAAGGGUAUAAAGUGUAUAAUGUUCAUACAAAGAAGGUGCUUAUCAGUAGAGAUCUUGCAGUGGAUGAGUCUAACCUCCAUGGAUGGGAUCGAGAUAUUAUUGUAAAAAACCAAGAUGGGAGUACUUCAGCUGCAGUUCAAAAUCCAUAGACAAGUGAUAUUUCUUCUAGUCCUAUUGCUGGAGCAGGAUACCUUUCAAAUGUUGAAUUGACAACUGAUUCUCCAGUUUUGAAGACCAGAUCACUAACUGAAGUUUAUGAGCAAUGUAAAUUUUCUCUCGUCGAACCAUCUUUCUUUGAAGAAGCAGUGGGUCAUAAAGCUUGGAUUUCUACAAUGGAGGAGGAGCUUUCCAUGAUUAAUAAAAAUGAUACUUGGGAGCUGGUUGAUAGGCCCGACCAAAAAAACAUCACUAGUGUCAAAUGGGUCAAUAGAACGAAGUUUAAUCUAGAUGGCUCCAUAUUCAAACAUAAAGCCAAACUCGUAGUUAAAGGUUAUUCCUAACAGCCUGGAGUGGACUUUGGAGAUAUGUUUGCUCCUGUUGCGAGGCAUGAAAUAGUAAGAUUUCUAGUGGCUCUUGCAGCACAAUACCAGUGGAAAAUUUACCAUUUAGAUGUCAAAUCUUCAUUUCUAAAUGAAUUUCUUAAAGAAGAUAUUUAUGUUGAGCAACCUGAAGGUUUUAUAGUUGUAGGUGAAGAAGACAAGGUGUAUAAGCUUAAAAAGGCUCUCUAUGUCCUUAAACAAGCUCCGAGAGCUUGGUAUAGUAGGCUAGGUACUCAUUUGCUGUCUGAAGGCUUCAACCGAAGCCUAAAUAAGCUUACUUUAUACUUCAAAAGGCAAGCUGAUAGGAAGUUAAUUGUGAUAUCUGUUUAUGUUGAUGAUUUGAUGAUCACAGGUAAAGAUUCUCUUAUAGUUCAAGAAGUAAAAAAUGCGAUGCUAAAAGUUUUUGAAAUGUCUGAUCUAGGGGAGAUGAAGUUCUUCUUGGAAAUAGAAAUUUCUCAAUCUUCUGAAGGAAUUUUUUUGUCCCAAAAGAGGUAUACCCUGAAUCGCUUAAGAAGGUUCAAGCUUGAUAAGUGUAAACCUGUUGCAACUCCACUUGUUGUGAAUGAAAAGUUAAUGAAGGAUGAUGGAGAAGAGCGGGUAGAUUCAAAACUUUAUAGGAGACUUAUUGGAAGCUUGUUGUAUCUGACUGCUACCAGGCCAGAUGUGAUGUUUGCAACUAGUCUACUAUCCUGAUAUAUGCAAUGUCCCAGUACCAAGCAUCUUGGAGCUGCUAAAAGGGUGUUGAGGUAUAUUAAAGGGACAACUAAUUAUGGCAUUUGGUACAGAAGUGUGGAGAAUAGAGUUCUUAUCGGCUAUUCAGAUAGUGAUUGGGGUGGAUGUUUGGACGAUUAUAAAAGCACAUCUAGUUAUUUUUUUUCAUUUGGUUCAGACAUUUUUUCUUGGAGCAUAAAGAAGCAGGAUAUCAUAGCUUAAUCUUUAGAUGAAGUUGAGUAUAUAGAUGCUGUAUCUGCUACAAAUCAAGGAAUUUGGUUAAGAAAAAUCUUGUUUGAAUUGGAUCUUUUGCUAGAAGAACCAAUAGUUAUCUAUGUGGACAAUAAAUCAGCCAUUGCUAUGGCUGAAAAUCCAGUGCAACAUAGAAGGACGAAGCAUAUCAACAUCAGAUUUCAUGCUUUGCAAGAUGCCAAGAAGAAUGGAGAAGUUAAGCUAGUGCAUUACAGAAGUGAAGAACAACAAGCUGAUAUUCUAACCAAGGCUCUUCCCACAAACAAGUUUGAGUUUCAAAGGUCGUUGUAGGGAGUUUCAAUGAUAAAUCUGAAGGAGGAGUGUUAGGAAAUUAAGAUUUAUCUAGAAACUCCUAGUUAGAAGAUAUUUUUUGUAGUAGAAACUCCUAGAUAUUAGAUAUUUUUUGGAAUAGGUUCUUCUAGAAUAUGCUGGUGUAGUAUCGUGAAUAAAUAUCUUGUAGAAUUAUCUAGAUAUUCUAGAGUAGUAGAAGAUAAGGAUCACUAGAUUUUUUUUUAUAGAUGUAUCUAGAAAGAUAUCUAGAAUCAUCCAUACACUAUUAUAAAUAGGAGGCACAUUGUGCAUUUGUAACCAUCCAGAAAAAUUGAAAACAGUCAAUAAAAGUUUCAACUUCUCCUUUGUUUCACUGCAGUCUUUUUUGUAGCAAUUUACAGCUGCAUCAUUUCACUAUUUCAACUUGUUUUUUCAAUCCUUCUUUCCCCUCUUUUGAUAGACUAAAUGCACAAUCAUAUAAUAAUAUGGUGGCAAAUGCAAAUAAUGAUAGGCAAUAAACCUAAAGCAAUUCAACAACUACAACAAGGCCCUACUAAUAAUGACCUUCAACAGAAUAAAGCACAUGCACAUUGAUAGUUCAGAAAAAUAUCUAAAUUGAUUGAAAUUUACUUAUUAUAGAGAUGUAAGACUACUUGGAUCCAGUUGGGGAUGAUAAUUCAUGAUUUUUCAAUUCAGUAAUAAAACAUAGAAAGUUAAAGUAGUUUAUAGUGCAGGUGAAAGAUGAUCGUGAUAGUUGGAACUUUAGUCCAUCUACUAUAGCUAAUUUGUUUGUGAACUAAUAUAAGACCUGGCUUGAGAGUAAAACUGAAGAUAGAAUAUUUGUUAUUGAUCAAUUUUUGAAGAAUAAACCAGUAUUAUCAGAUGACCAGUGAAAAACACUAAUUAAACCUUUCACUACCCAGGAAGUUAAGAAGCAACAUUUCAAAUAGGGAGCAAUAAAAGCCCUGGACUGAAUGGAUAUGAGAGUGAUUAUUAUAAAGUUGCAUAAAAUAUUGUAGGGGAUGAAGUGACUCGGGCAGUACUAGAGUUUUUUCAAAAUGGUUAGAUCUUGAAGCAAAUAAACUCUACUAACAUAACACUUAUUCCUAAGGUAGAUGCCUAUGAGUAUGCUAGUCAGCUUAGACCAAUUGCAUGUUGCAAUGUGGUGUAAAAAUGUAUAUCCAAGCUUAUUUGUAUUACACUUAAAAGUGAUGUAAAUAAUCUGGUUCCAGAAAGUCAAUCUAUUUUUGUGCAAGGGAGGACUAUGAUGCAUAAUAUUUUGAUAUGUCAUAACCUACUAAGAAACUAAUAAUAGAAAGGUGUCUCCAAUGUGUCUACUUAAGAUUGAUCAAGAAAGCCUAUGACAUGGUUAGUCGGGAGUUUCUGGAGAAGGCUAUGGUAGGUUAUGUGUUCUUGGUAAGUUCAUUAUUGGAUGUUAAACUAUGUUGCUACCACUAUGUUUAUUGUAAAGGUGAAUGGAACAGGAUAUGGAUAUUUUACUUGGAAGAGAGGGCUUAGGUAGGGCGAUCCUGCUCCACCUUAACUCCUUAAACUAGUUAUGGAAUUUUUGUCAAGAAUUUUGAAAACAAUAAGUGUGUUACCUGGCUAAACUACACCCAAUGUGAAAGCCUCUCAAUUUAACUCAUCUUAUCAUUACUGAUGACCUGAUGGUCUUUUGCAAAGGAAAUACAAACUCAGUAAAUAGAAUAAUGGAAGCACUUCAAUACUACAGUAAGGUCACAGGGCUUAUUGCUAACAUGGACAAAUCUAGUAUGAUUGUGGCAGAAAUAGAUGAUAAUGUUAAGUAGCAGCUCUUGAUAAUUAUAUGAUUCACUCAUGGAAACUUUUUAUCAAAUAUCUAGGGCCACAUAUGUCACCAAAGAUAUGGAAUAAACUGGAUUGUCACUGGAAGACUGCUAAUAGAGAAGAUCACACAUAGAGUCAAAGUUAAAUGCUCUAAAUAAAUAUCCUAUGUAGGUAGAGUGCAAGUUAUCAAUGAAAUUUUAUUCUCUAUUCAUAGUUUUUAGGGUACUGUAUUUAUUUUGCCUUAGAGUAUAUUGAAGAAGGUGUAUAGGAUCUGUAGAACCUAUCAUUGGGGAAGUGAUGAUGAUAAGAAGAAGUUUCCUUUAGUAUUUUUCUAGAUCAUGAUUUGUAUUUUCACUCAUUUUUGCUGUUUAGAGCUUUCCUAUAGCUACCCCAGUCAUUUAUGACUUGCUAGAUCUGUCAGUUCGAUUACUGGACAGUUCAUCUGAUUUUUUGAGUCAAUUCUCUAUUUUCAAGUCUUCGUUGGUUCAAAUUGGCAACUAGGUGAAAACCUUAGUCAAACAACCUCAUAUGCUAAUUGUGACUAUUCCAACAACUCUGAAAUAUCAAUUUUAGGCUAGGUGGACCCUUGGUUUGGGUUUCAAGGAUUUUGGACUCAUUUUAGGCUAUUGGUUGGAAGUUAAGAAAAUGACACGUGGGUGUGGGACCCAAUUUUCAUUUAAAAAACCUUGGAUGAAAAUUUUUGACUAUGUCAUUAAUCUAGAACAUCAAAUUUGAUAGGUUAGCAUAGUUCAUUUGCAUUACAGGAUUUCGAAUGAAUCCUGAGGGGUUGGUGAAGUCUCGGAAUAAUUUUGAGUUUCCAGUUGGUGUACCCGCUUAAGCGCCCUUUUGGUCUGCUUAAGUGAUGGCGGCGCUAAAGUGAUUGGCUCAUCGCUUAAGCGACUGAGAUGGCCGAGUGGAUUGCUGCUUAAGCAGACCUCUCAUCACUUAAGCUAUGGAUGCUUAAGUGGUAUGUGUGUAGGCAGCCAUUGUCGCCAAAGCGACACUAGGUCGCUUAAGCGGAAACUCGGCCUAGUGUUUACUUAAUCAACACCUGAACAUAUGGGAAUACUAUAAAUACAUCACUAGACCAAUUUCUCAAUUUUCACCCAUUUCUAAGAGAGUAGAACCCUAAAAAGUGUGGAAACUUUGGAGAAUGAUUUGUGGGUUAUUUUGGAGCAUUUGUGGAAUUAAAUUACGUGUUUUUUCUCUGAAUCCUUGGUAAGCUUCCAUCAAUUUCAUGAAUUAAUCCUUCAUCUAUUUCCAAAAUACCUAAAAUACUGGUAGGUUGAUUGUAGCACCAUUUGAGAUUGAAAUUUAUUCAUUCGUGAGGGUAAAUAUUCUUUGAGCAUAGACAAACGCAUUGAUGGUUUUGAAUGUAAUUUUGCAAGCGGGCCCCAUAUGAGAUCUUUACGCAAUUUUGGAUCCAAUGCACAAAAAUAUAAUAUGGGUAUCGUUGUUCUCAUUUUGAUGAGUAAAUUAUGAUUUUGAUAGCGUGGCAAUUUGCAUAAGCUUUUCAGAAGGAAAAUUCAUCUAUUUAGCAAAUUUCACCGGGCAUUCUGCGAUAUUGAGAUGGCUAGGUUUACCUUCUUUAUAUAUUAAGAUUAAUAUUAUAUAUUUGCAAUAAAGUGUUAGAUGUGCGUUGAGAAUUAGGUCUUGAAGUAUAAUUAGUAUAAUUUAGGUCGUUUAGCCUAUUGAGUAACCACAAUUUAGGUCUAAUUGACUUAGUUGCUCAUGUUCAAGUUGAAUUUUCUAUCUUAGGGAUAAUUAUGACCCAUUUAAUAUUUUGAAGUGAAUUUAGAUACCUUAACCUUGUCUAGGAUAGAAUUUACCUUACAAUGGAUUUUGGAGAUUAGAAGUGGGCCUCUUCAGCCCACCUUAGGCCAAGAUUAUUUUUAGCUCCUUGUAACUUUAUAGGUGAAUUACAUCCUAUGAAUUGUGUACUUGGUAUCUUAAAAAUCAUGGUUACAUGGUUAUUAUGCUAAAUGGGUGAUCGAAAGUUGAUACGAGUUCCAGUUCAAGUCCAGUCUUUGAAUAUAUGAGUUCUGAUUCAAGUCCUGCAAAUAAUAAUGAUGUUGAUGAUUGAGUUCUAGUUCGACUCCGACAUUGAGAGAUAUUUAUGGUAUGUUACGACACAGAUAGAAUCAUGAUUAUGGCUCGGUAUUUGGUAAUUUUAUGGAAUUUUAGUUAUAUACAUUCUUGAUUACACCUUCCAGGUUUAUGGGGGCCCACGAUGGAUUAUUUACUUUUUUGCACUUAUUGAAUUAUGGGGCCAAUCCAUUAGUUAUACUUGUGUGAUAUUUACAUUAUUAAUUUGGAUUUAUCUUUUUAUUUAUGUACAACAUUUGGAGUUAUUUUAGGUUUGCCCAUUUACCCUAACUUAGGUUUAUAUAUCUUGUAUAUUUAUUGUUCUUAUAGUAUAAUUUAGCUCAGUUGGCCGAUGAUGCCUAUUGAGUACCUGUGGCUUUGGCACUCAUACUACACUCCUGUACCUUUUUUAUGCAGAUUUGAGUACUAGUGAUCGACGUUGAUGAUACCAUCGUAUUGGUUUGAGUUAGGAGAUAAGGUGACCUCUUAGAGUAAAAAAUUUCCUCUUUCCUUCUAUUAUCUAUACUUAGUCUUUCAUUAUUCGAGACUGAGUUGUAUUAGACUAUUACAGUACUUAUGUUUCUUUUUGCUAGUAGAUCUUGUACCGACACUACUAGGUCGUGGGAUAUUAUUUCUAUCUUAUCUAUAUUUUAGACUAUUAUUAUUAUUAUUAUGUGAAUUACUGUUUUAAGUCUUUACUUGUAAAUUUUUGGCUUUUAUGCCUUUUUCCACCAAAUUAGCCCAUUAUUUCUAUCUUUAGGCUACGAUUUGACUUACCUACUGGUAGGGUAAAGUAGGUUCGUCAUAACCUUUAAAUUGAUCAUGACAAUCUUGGUAUAAUAUUUUUGUCCCUAAGAAACUUGGAGGAUUAAAUGUUAAAAGCAGUGCAAAUAGGAAUGUUGCAUCUGUGGUGUGGCAAUUGAGUAUAAGGAAUCUUUAUGGGUUAAAUAGGUUCAUGGUAUUUACAUGAAGGAUGAAAGGAACAUAUGGGCUCAUAAACCUUCAAUAGACAUUAACUAGUAUUGGAGGAAGAUAAACUCAUUGAAAGAGAUAAUGCGAGAAUGGUAUAAUCGGGAAAGAUAUAUACUUACAAAGAGAUAUUUUGCCAUUACUGGUCGUUAUAACAGACUGCAUGAGGUUGAUCUAAUUUGGAGUGGACUUAUCUCAACCAAAACAUAUAUUUAUCAUUUGGUUGAUUUAUAAGGAAGGCUGCUGAUAAAGGAAAGAAUGGUAAAACUGAAGGUCCAGGUAGAUAACAAUAACUGGUGGUUAUGUGUUGGUAAAUAUGUAGAGACAAGUUUCAAUCUAUUUGGGGACUAUGAUGGAUUAAGUCAUUGAUGCAAGAAGUGUAUGAUCUAGAAGAUUAUGAAAUAAGAAACUAAGCAAUUUAGAAAAGAAGUUGUAGCUGCAAUUUGGGAUGUAAUUGUAUAUCACCCUGGAAAUCAAGGAACUGAAAGAUUUUUAAAAAAGUAACUGUACUUUCUAAGGAGGUUACCACAUGGAUUAGGAAAGAACUGAUAGAUAGAUUGCAAUUACAUAUGAAGUCAAAAGGCCAGUAGAUGUAGGGGACUAGUCUAACAAAUACUUGUGUAAAUAGGUUUAAUUUUAUUGUUCUUUUGACUGAGGUUUCUUCUCUAUGAUAAAGAGUAGGAGGUUCUCUUUAUGUUGUAAUGCUUUUUUGGAGUAAUGAUAAUUUUUAAAUUUCUAUGAAAAAUUUAAAAUUAAAUAACUUUUUAUUAAAAAAAGUGAUAUUAUUUUUAAGAAAGUUUUCAAAAGUAUGUUUCAUAAGCAGAUUAUUAAACUACAUAUUUCGCUCAAAUUAGAUAAGUGACAUGUGGAGAAUUUCCUUUUUAAAAAAGAGAUACUUAGUUAUAAAGUUUGUGAUUAACUUUAUUUCAUAUUUGACAAGAUGUGUUAAUCAAUUUUGAUACUAGCUUAUGCCAUAAUUUAUACUAAAAUAGUAAAAUUAUUAUUCCACAUGAAGGUUGAAAGAAAAUAAUCCUAUGAAAUAUUUCACCGCACGAAAUAUACCUACUUAUCUAAGUCAAUGUACCAAUCGACUCUUAAAAGAUUGGUCUAGAAGAGGAAAGAAACAGAUAAGUUAUUGAAACUUUGUAAAAAAGAGGUAAUUUUCAAAUAACAAACUAUGCCCUCAAAUAAUAGACUGAUAGCAACAAUUUCAUAAUUACCUCUGAUAGUAAAUUGUACAUAUAUUUGAUGUGUUAUUUUUGAAUGUAAAUACAUAUGCAAAUAGUUAAAAAGGAGAGAUUCAAUUAUGUAGGAGAAUAUCUUAUACUAUUGUUAAAAUUAUGAAUGAAAUUUAGUAGAAUAUUAUUUUAUAAAAUAUAAUGUUGUAAAAAAGGUUAUUAAAAUCAGAGAUAAAUGUUGAUGAUAUUCUUUUUUGCUCUCUUCUCAAUCUCCCGCCUGUCUCUCUCUCUAUUCUAUAUCUUUCUCAUUUAACCUUUAUUUUUAAUUUUUGAUUUUUGAAUUUUGUAUUUCUAUCUCUUUCUCAUUUUUGUCCUUUUUCUACUUUUUGAUCUUUCAUUUGUAUUUGUAAAUAGACCAAUAUAUGUAUUAUUUAUAUUUGCUUGAAUCUAUCAUAUACAAAGUAUGCAAUGUAUUAUUUAUUUUAUAUGUAACAUUUAUCAUUUGUAAUUGUAUAUAAAGAUUUGUAUCAAAUGAUACAUUGCGUAUUUGUAUGUUUCAAUUUAUAUCUAUAAAAUAUAAUUCAUAACAAUGAAUACAAACAAAAGUAUUCAUAGAAAGAUAAUCAACAGUUCUUUCUCAAUUAUUUUAAAAUAUAAAUGGUGCAGUCAACUAUAAACACAAAUAAAUGAAAUAAAUAAAAUUGCAAAGACAAUAAGUAGUCAACGACAAAUACAAAAACUGGUUCUUCAAAAUACAAGUGCAUCAAUGGAAAUAGAAUACAAAUAUAAAAAAAUAAAACUACAAAAACAAAUACAAUAUAUAAUCAACUGCAAAUACAAAAUAGUUCUUUAAAAUACAAGUGCAUCAACAAAAUAUAAUUGUAUAAAAAUAUAUCAUUUAUAUUCAAAUGGUUUUUGUUGUAUCAACAAAUAUAGUUGUAUUAACGAAUGCAAAAAUAUAAAUAAUGAUACGAGUGCAAAUUCAAAUAUAAACUGGUGAUAAUACAAAGAACCAUAAAAAAUACAAGUAUAAAACAUAAGUUACCCCAACCACUAUCGGAACCACCACAAAAUUAUUGAAACUGUAACGACACAAAAUAUUGUAACGUAUGAAAACACCUCAAAAAUAUUUUAUGAUAAUUAAAAUGAUCUAAAUGGACCUGAAAAAAAUUAUUUCAUGGGAAAAAUAUGAGGUCCAAAGUGAGCGGACAAAAAAGGGCCCAAAAAGGGAACUAGACUGGUUUGCGGCCUACCACUGCUGUGAAAUUCGACAGUAACUAGCUAGGGAUAUUUUAAAAGUCUUUUAUUAUUUUAACCCUCCCUAGUCUCUCUUUUCCCUAAAAAAACAUCCAAAUAAACCUCACUUUCAUUUUUAUGAGAUUCCAAAGGCCAAGCUUUAUAAGGGCGAUUUUUAGGCACACCUAGCAAAUCCCUCCAUGGAAAGAUGCUUAGCACUCGAGGGACAACUUGGUCCUCUUACAAGCAUCAUGUUUCAUCGACGAGGUAGCUUAUGGUUUAUUUAUCAUAGCAAUUAAACUUGGGUUAGAUUCAUUUUACAUGGAUAGUAAGGUCGGGAGUUCUCAUACAUUAGGUCUUAGGACACAAUAUUUGAAUGGACAAGAAUAAUAAAUACCUAGUUAGUCUUUAAUAAUACGGUAAAUAAUGGUUGUACCCUAUUGAUGUGACAUAACGACAUUGAAUGAGCCAAACUCCAUGAGAAUAUUAAGUAGUUGGAUAUGUAUACUUCAAAAUUUUGGAACAGGUUUUAUAAGGAGUUUGGCACCAAGCUCACAUUUAGCAGAGUUUUUGAUGGACAGUUGGAGAGGACAAUUCAGGUGGUAGAGGACAUGUUGAGAUCUUGUGUCAUUGACUUUGGUGGUUAUUAGGACCAGUUUAUACUAUUGUGUGAGAUUUUAUACCAAAAUAACUACCAUUACAGUACGACAUGAUACUAUUCGAGGCACUCUAUGGAAAGAAGUAUAGGUCACCUACUGGGUAGUUUGAGACUAAUGAUAUUAAUCCUUUAGGCUCUGACUUGGUAAGGGAGGCUCAAGAAAAGAAAAGGUAUAUUCAUACCAUGUUAUUGGCUACUCAAAGUAGGCAAAAGGAGUGUGUGAACCAUAAGGAAAAGGGCAUGAACUUGAAGUUUGGUGAACAAGUGUUGCUUAAGGUGUCUUAUGUGAAGCAAGUCAUGAGGUUAAGUAAGAAGGGAAAGCUCAACCCUCGAUAUAUUUACCCCUUUAAUAUUUUUGAGGAUGUGGGUCUGGUUGCAUACAAGGUAUUACCACUGGGGCUGUUAGAAGCUUAUCUAGUGUUCUAUAUUUUUAUAAUCAAAAGAUACCAAGGAGAAUGACUUAUUUUAUUAAAUGGGACUCGAUUAUAAUUGAUAAAGAUUUAGCCUAUAAAGAAGAACCGAUGACGAUUCUAGAUAAGGAUGUAUCGAAGUUAAGGACGAAUAAAAUUUAUUCAAUUAAGGUUCCAUGGAAGCAUAUUCUGGUUGAGGAGGCCACCUAGAAAACUAAGAAGGACAUGUGGGAUAAGUACCCUUAAUUGUUUGAGGAUGCAAGUACUUUUCCUUAUCUACUUCUUUUGGAUUAUUUUCUUGUUUGAUCAUUAGAGGAUGAAUAAUGGGUAAAUUGGUAUCUGUUGUAACAACCUUGUCCAUUGUUACGUAUAAGUCUUUUGUUUAAAAUUUCAUGUUAAAAUUCUUUUCGAAUUUAAAGUUAUAAAUUUUAGGUCAGGCUAGUUUCGGAUGAAAUCAGAGUGAUGUGCCAUCUAGGAAUAUCUAGGAAUAAUUUGGGUAAGUAUGGUGGUGUUUAAUUUGAUCACUAGUUAGCAAAGAUAAUAGGGAGCCAUAGAACUUUACGAAAUCAGAUUUGGAUAAGUGAAACUCCCAAAAUUGGUCUUAGAAUAAAGGGUAUUGUUUGGGAUGUAUUGGAUUUAAGGUGUGUUAUGACAAAAGGAAAUUUUUGGAGGAAACUAGACAUUCAGUCCCAUCGGAGGUGCUAUAGCGACGUGCAAGUACGCUAUAGCGACAUGCUCAAAAAUAAAAAAAUUCUCACUAUAGCGACCGUCAACAUAGUCAAAGGGUCUAUAUAGUGACGAUGUCACUAUAGCGGCAUAAAUCACUAUUUUAUUUCAACCCCCCCUCUAAAUAGUUUAGUUUUCCAAGAAAUCUUUGGGGCUUCAAUAGUGGCAGUUUAGGGUUAAAACCAUUAAUUUUUUGUCAUAUUUCAUCGUUAAAGUAAGGAAUUCAUCACUGUUAGCUAGUAAAUCAAUAAUCCAGCCUUAGAAUUGUUAGUUUCCGUAGCUUGGAGAGGGUUAAGGUCUGAAUUUUCUUGAUUUUCUGGUGCAAGAGGAUAAAUUGAGUAUAAACUUAAUUUUUUUGCUUAAUUAUUGUUAGUUUACCCUUGUAUGUCAUUAAUUCACUAAAUAACCUAUGAGAUUGGUAGUUUAAGGUGAAUUAAGAUAAAAACACCCUAUAACAAGGAGAAAAUUAUCAUAAACUUAGCCUUAGGAGUUGGGUCUGAGUUAUAAUUUCCAACAUGGUUGGUCAUUUCAUUAAUUAUGUGUUUACAUGCAUUUUCUAGACUGAGACCAAGCGAAAAAUAUAUGGAAGGGCAAGGCUCCGGCUAAGUAGAGUUGUGCAAGCUUGAUUUGAGGUAGGUAAUGAUAUUGUAGUUUCAUCCAAUAUGUACUAUAUGUUUAUGUUAUCUACUUCUUAGUAUGGCUUGCUAGUGCAUGUCGUUUGGUGUGGUCAAUUCAAUGGUUUUACCUUGUUGUAUGAUUUUGACCUAUCUAUUUUAAAUAAGAAUGCUUCGGUAUUUAAACAUUCUCUCAGCUUAAUUAUGGAACAAAUUUUGUAGAUAUUUGUGUCUGGGCUUUGGUAUAUGGAUGAAAUUUAUCCUUUGCAGAUCAUGGCUAGAGGGUGGUUAUGAUACCUAUAGCGUGUAUGUAUGAGGUUUGGGUGAAUUUGAUAGUUUCACGAGCGAAUCAGGAAAUACAUUUAUAUAUUUGAUUAUUGCUUAACUUAUCUUGACUUAUUUACUUGGUGGUAAAUGGCUUGACUUUUUCAUAUAAUCAAUCCUAAACUGCUUAAUUGAUACUUGUUAUGCUAGGUGUAGGUUAGAAUGCGCAUGGAUUAAGUAGUUGUACUAUGUAUUGGUUAUAUGUUCAUAUUCUCAUUUUGGGUUGGACGAAUGACCCUACCAGUACACUAUUAUUCUUAUGUGCUGAACUACACUUGCUUUUACUUUUAUUGAGUGUAGCACAUAUUCUAGCGGCUCCUACAAGACCUCAACUGUGAUUCUAGCGAGUGAUUUAGAUUUUAGGGGUGAACAACUUAUUUAGCUACCUUGGAAUCUUUCCUUUAUAUCAUUGUCCUUUGUUUUGGACACUAUGCACUUUCUUUUGAUUUUGAAAUUGUAUCCCAUUCUUAAUAAUUUUAGUAUGUUUUAGUAUAUCGACUUUCAAAUUCUAAGGUUUUUCCUUUUAAUAAUUAUUUCUGCAUUUGUCCUUUGUUUUGGACACUAUGCACUUUCUUUUGAUUUUAGAAUUGUAUCCCAUUCUUUAUAUUUUUAGUAUGUUUUAGUACAUCGACUUUUGAAUUCUAAGUUUUUUUCCUUUUAGUAAUUAUUUUUGCAUUGCUUUAAGUUGUUAGAUUGGUGGAUUUUAAACUAUUAUGGGAUAAUUUCUUCUAUAUUCUCUAAGUGUUGUUAAAUGCUUUUAGGGUUAUUGGUUCUCCCAUCGAAGAAUAGAGUGGGUGCCACUCACGUCCAAUCGGGUCAUGACAUUAGAAUUCUAAGCCUUGAUGAUGGUAAAUCCCGUAGUGCAUUGUAAUAAUGAAUUAUUGAGAAGAUCUGGUCUAGUGUGGGUUAGGAGUUAUGAAAACUAGGAUGAUGAGUUAGUGAAAGGUAAAAAGGUCAAAGUUAGAGUUGGUGGUUAAAGGAUAAAGAUAUACAAAAAUGUUAAAUAGCAGGUAGGUCACAAAAAUAUGAGAAGGGUGGUGUUCAUGAAUUCAUAACUUAGGAUUUCGAAAAUGAAAUUGUACUUGAUGCUAUAAUUUCUCCCUAUUUGUUAUUAAUGUUAUUUGUUUUUAAUCUUCCUCAUCUAAUGAUGUCUACUAGUACGUGUGGUUGUACUAAUAUUAUACUUACUAUGUCUCCAAUCGAGGAUAUAACCAUGGUGUAGGUCAUUUGGGGUUUUAUAGUAGCGAUAAUGAUCACUCAGUAGCAACUCCUGCCCUUUCUAUUUUGUAUAGAUGUUGUUCAUAGAUUCUUCUAUUUCUUGUGUUGUGCUCUUGUCCGAUUUAGGCUAGAUUUUGGGGAUUCACUAUUAGUUAUAUUCUAUAUUACUUUUACAUAUCGAAUGUAUUAAAAUAGAAUUAUAUAUGUAUGAGAUAAUAGGAUUACAUUAUUAUAGAUGAAUUAUUUAGCUUCUGCUUAAAAUGAAUGGUUGGGUAAUGAGGAUUCUCCUAUCUGGGGUAGGUGUUCGGUAGGUGCCUAUACGAUUGAUAGGUUGAGUCAUGCCAAGAUGUUAUUUGAGCCCAAAUUACCGGUCUCCCAAUACAAGAGCAAAUAACAAGUAAAGUCCGGUGAAUGGGUGUGUUAAAACCCACGUCAAAUCUACAAGAGGCUACAAGGCAUUUAGGAAACCGUCUUACUUUCUUCUCUUAUAACAUAGUAUUCCAGUGUUUUUCCCGGAGUUUAGUCCAAUUAGUAUCUAGCAAAUUCUAGUUGGCAUCAUAACCACUGCAAUCGGGACUAGUUAGUCCUAAUUGGUAUCUUGCUAAUGUUUGAGGGGUUGGGAUAAGGCAUCCUAACCAGUAGAAGUUAGUAAGAAGCAUACGUAUUGAGUUGUUAUGUUAUGAUAUUUUCUUGAUAUUGUGUUAAAGUACUUGUGCAUUAAAUUUUUUAUUGCCAUAUGCUAGAAUCUAUGUGUAUUAUUUAUACAAAGGUUUAUUGGUUAUUAAUACAAUUAACUGGUGGUUAGGUUGUCAUUUUUCUAAUAUACAAAAGUUGAUUACACAUGCUAAUUUGUAUGAUGCGUGGAUAUGGGACUUGGGGAUCAUGAGGAUCGGUGUGAUCUCAAGGUGUAUCUUUAUUUUUGUGACUUAAGGCAAACCUCAUCUCUCCAUGACUUGGAGUAUUCCUUAAUUUCUAUCUAAACCCUGACAAACUAACCAUGUGUCUUUCUUUUUUGUGAGAAAUAUUGAGUGACAAGUGGUGCUUGGGAGAAAAAAUAGGUAUGCACGUGUUAGAUUUAAUCAAAUUGAGGAAUAAGUUGCGCUUUGGAUAGUUUAGGUCACCACCUAAUCACUCUGGACCUUAAAACUAAGGGGCAUGCGAGUAGAAAUUAAAAUAGUGUCCAGGGGAUAGCAUAGUAUGGGAAAAAACUUGGAUAAAGCUAGCAAAGAGGGAAAAAGUGGAACCGUUGGAGGUUACCACUAUAGUGGUAAGAUUAAUCGCUAAUGUAGCGGCUCUAGGCAGUAGACUUCCAACCCUUUCAAAACACCCCCAAACUUUGGCCCUUGCAAAUUUCUUGAGUUUUGAACUCUUUUUACAUCAUACAACUCACACCACUAGUCGUAUAGUGUGGUGACAGGUAUAGGGACCCUAGUUGUAUGUUGGUUAGUUUAUUAUUGGCCAAAUUCUGUCCUGGCUAUGAGAGACUCCAUACGAGUCAUAUGGUCAUGUGAUGAGAGAGUUAGGGUCCAAUCGUAUGUUGUCCAAUGUCUAGCCCUUGAUGUUCUGCCUUGAAUAUGACUAGAUUUUACUAGUCGUAUGGUCUAGUGAUGAGUUGCACAAGGGAGUUGUAAGUUGGAUGGAAUAUGGUGUCCAACCUUCUGUUCUGGUGACGAUUUAAUAAUACAGUCGUAUGUAGUGGUGACGAGUUGGAGGGUCAACUCGUACCCACCUGUGGGUUUCUAUAGCUUUUAAGCUGAGGUUAUUUUGGAUAUUUUCCACCCCAAGCCCUUAAGAUCCCAUGUCUUAUAACACAAAUUGGGCAUUCAUUAUACACUUAGCAAGACUAAAACUCUCUCUAAAACUUCUCAAGAAAGAUUGGGCUAGGGUUUUUUCAAGGUGGUCAUCUAGAGGCUUAAAGAUCAAAAUCUCUCUGUUAAUCUUCGCAACUCAGGCAUGUGCCUCUUCCUUCAUUGUUGGUUCGCUAAAAGCAUAUGUUUAAAGCUUUGUUCAUGAAUCAUUAAUGGUGAUUUUGAAAACCAAGGUUGAGGGUUAGGUUGCAUAUUGUUGAACAUUGACUUCUCAUGAUUUUAAUAGUGUUUAUGUAUGUUUUAAUAAUGGUUUUGCACAUGUGAGUACUUGGGAAUUGUGAUUUGAACUAAGGGGGUCAUGGUUAACCCUAACUUGAUGGGUUUUGGCUUGAAUAAUGGUUUUGAUAAUAGUAUGCCCUCAACCUGUUUGUGAAAUUUCCAAUGAGAAUGAUCUUGUCACAUAUUGAAUUGUGUUUGAACUAAGGCAUUGACCUAAUAAUGUAAAUGGUUUUAUGAAAUCCUUGUUGGACAUAAAUUAUUUUCAAUUACUAAAAGGGUUCGAGACCCUAAAGGUUGAAUUGAAUGAUGUCUUUGUUUAGACAAUGGGUUCGAGUCCCAAGUUGAUUAAUAAUGGCUAUGGCAUGUUGUACGCUUGCAAGUGGGGUUGAUAUAAUGAUACCAAUAGGAUGCCUUUGGUAAGUAAUCAAAUUAAUGGUUGUGUGUGUACUGAAUGUUUUAAUUAGCUGGGCUGUGAAAUUGAAGUCCGAAGGACUAACACUAAAAACCAUGCUAGCCGCUGCAGGUGUCUAUAUGACCAGGAGGUAUGAGUCCUCUGAAUGAAUAUAUGAAUGGGAGGUUUGAGUCCCCCAUAGUGUAUAUAUUGGUUCUUAAGUCACCUUGACUAUGUUGGGAGGUUCGAGUCCCUUAUAAAGGUAUAUAUGGUUAUGGAUAUUCUCCGGUUCUUGCGGAUACAUGCACUAGGGCCCUUCCAGCUAGGGGAGAGCUGGUUCCAUAUAGCCCGUAGGUGCCUUGUUUGAUGACAGUUAUGUUAUACAACCCAGGUUAAUAUUUUCCAAAGUUUAUGCUAAGCCUUGUUCCCUAUCUCGGUAUUAUAUAUAUAGGUAUACAUGUGAAUGUAUAUGAUGAGUUGAAUUGGUUUGAAUGAUGGAAUUAUUUUAUUCCUCUAUCCUUGAGUUACAUGCUAGUUCUCCAACAGCUAAUCGUCUCCGAACGCUGUAUCCCAUGCGAUGCAGGCGCCGAACUUCUUUUACUUUUCUGUGUAAUGAUUGGGUGUUCGAGUUGGUUUGUGAGUUGACAUUGAAGUGGUAAGCUUCCAUACUUCGGAAGGCUUCAUUUCAUGGUCUUUAUUACUUGUGUCCUAGACCUUAUUUAGGCUUUGUUUUUGGCUAUUGUUGGGGACAUGUCUCAAGAUUUUAUUGAUUUUGGUUUUGUAGAGGCUUUGUUGGAUUACUGUGGACUUGGGCGUGUUGUUUUGGUAGAUUGGAUCGGUGGCGGAUGGUAGUCUGAUUACCAGUGAUUAGUUUAGACAUUUCAUGAAUCAUAUUAGUCUUAGCUUACACUAUCUUGUUAUAUGUUCGAAAUUCAUCUGACUCUUGAGGUUAUUGUGUUGAAUAGGUUAGGUGAAGGGGUGAUCUCCGAUCCACGUGGGACUCAGGAUACCCAUCUUGACCAGGCCUUGGUUUGGGUCAUGACACCUUUCCCUUAUUUUUGUAAUUUUACAAUCAUUAUUAAUGAUAGUUAAAGAUAAAAAUUAACUUUGACAUGCAUUAGAUGCUAAAACCAUUAUUAUUAAGGGUAAGGGAACGGUAAUUGUCUCUAAAUAUAGGAAAAAGAAAAUAAAAGGGUAAUUAUUUGUUACAUGCCCCAAAAGGGGCAACCCAAAUCCAAAUCAGUAGUAUAAGAUAAAAAGAAGGGAGGGAUAUCAAGCUAGCGGCGUCAUCUCCAAGGCUCGAGGGAUCCAAACCCUCUUCCUCUAUUUUGCUAAGGAAGAUGAACUCCUCAAAUCCUUCCUGGUCAGAUUUGGGAGCUUCUUUGUGAGGUAGGCACACUUAAACAUUACCUGGACUACCUUUCACAUCCUCACUAGCAUACGAUCCGAGAGCGGCACUUCUUCUUCUCCUCAUCUAGCUCCCUUUGGAGCUUGGUGUAGGCUUGGGCCUAAUCCAUAGGGCAGUAGAGUUUGAGGAAGCCAAUCUCUAUGGAGGUAGCUGGUUCCUUUUUAAAUAUCCCAUAUAUCCUCAAGAUUAGCCUCUCAACCCCUAAAAUUUGUGGGAGGGAUGCGAGAAUCCUCAUCUCAUCCAGCCUAGAUACUCUCGCCUUCUUCUCCCACCUUUUUUCUUUCAUCUGUUCUUGCCUCUCCAUGGGUUGAAUUCUACAUCACAUUCCUCCAUAGUUUCACAGUCAUCCUUAGGCAUGCAGUCUUAUAUGUAAAGAUUUGUAAUCAAGGAAGCAGGAAGAUCCCUCGCCAACCUCUUUCGGCCGUAGAAAUACUGCCACUCGUCCAUAGUUUGUGCCCUCACAUUUAUCUCAAUCUCCACUAAAUAACACACCACCUCCAUAUCUUGGUGGAAGACCACAUUCGUCAUAUUUCUCGAAGGACGAAUCCUCUGGGACACCAGCUGCAGCCAUACCUUAGCCUCCACUGAAAAGUAAGCACUCUUUGUUUCCUUUAAGGCUCGACCACUUCACUUUGUUUGCCCGACCCUACGAUGUAAUGCCUUGGUUGCCUAUUUAAGGUCAGCCUUCUAUACUAUAGCUUCAAAGGAAGCAUUUCAUGGGUUUUGGACCCCCAGAGUUUCAUUUAUGGUGGCAACAUCGACCAGGACAUUCUUCUCUUGGAUGCAAAUAGUGGGAAGAGGUAUUGUCCACUCUACUAUAGGAAGAAUAACAUCAAACUCCUUGACAAAGGUGAAGUAAUGAUCAGGGAUGGACUCCAUUAGUAUCUCCCAUCUAAAGGUCUUUAACUGAUUGUAGAAGUUGGGGGCCUCAUCUUCCAAAUCUUUCUUUACGAAACCCCUCUCGCAGAAGAAACCCCUAUUAUGCUUACCCUCCGCAUAAAGAUCGCGACUGGAGGUAUCGAGAAACUUUCGAUAGCAUGGUCACUGGCCAUGAUUGUCCCACAAUACACCAUAAUUAAAAUUUUAGAAACUAUAUUGGGGCGUCACAAGGGGAGGGGGAAGGAAUUUGAGACUACAAGAAAUUAAAAACCUAGAGAGGCUACCGUGCUGCUAGGUAUAAUCACAUACGUUAAUUAACCACUGCAGUGUUUCCACUGCAUGUUGCAAUGGUCCAUCAUUCCCAACUCGCCAAUCUCUGCUCCCUUGGAAUUUCUUUAAUUUUUCUUUGUAUUUUUGAGGAUUAAGGAUAGAUCUAGUUUAGUAAAGUUUGUAUGAACCCUUUUACACUAACAUGGGAGUGUAUAACACUCAAAUUCGCCUCAAUUUACCCCAUUUAUUGGUAAAGAUGACCCUCCAUAUUCCACCUAUCUAGUGGUUGAAAUCCUUUAUGAACUACGUCAAUCUUACAUCCUAAACGUCGUAGUAGCAUUGAAGAUAUAAGAGAACCUAACUUGUUCAUCAUUUCAUUCAAGAACACCACCAAAUUCAAGUUUCACCCGAAAAACAAAUAAACAAUCCUCUAUUCUUACGAGGUUUCGACAAUCCUACAACGAGAAAUACGUGAAGUAAGUAGUAAAGGUGAAGAAAUUACCUUGAGUUUGUUGAACCAGCUGUUGUAGCGAUAACCUUCUUAGGUGUU
rnacentral:lncRNA from 1 species